rnacentral:siRNA from 1 species
GGCAAGACAGAUUUGGAGGGACGG